GCGGGGGAUUGUCAACGGGGCCGCACCCGAGCUACCCGUGCCCACCGGUGGGCCGGCGGUGGGAGCUCGGGAGCAGGCGCUGGCAGUCAGUCGGAACUACCUCUCCCAGCCUCGCCUCAGCUAUACAAUUUCUCCAAUUUCCUUUGUGACUUUUGUCACUUCUGCGUAACAUUAAGGAUUCCCUUUCCUCAUCUACUUAGCUAAAUGCUGCGUCCUCUAUAAAGUUUUUACUUUUCUCCCUGAGCAUACAAGACAGUAUCUGGAGUCAAUGGUCCACUAGUGAUCUUAGAUCAUGUUAAGUUUCCCAGGUAUGCUGAAAUUGUCCAUUUGACCUUACCGGAUGGCACAAAGAGAAGUGGGCAAGUUCUGGAAGUUAGUGGUUCCAAGGCAGUAGUUCAGGUAUUUGAAGGGACUUCAGGUAUAGAUGCUAAGAAAACGUCCUGUGAGUUUACUGGGGAUAUUCUCCGAACACCGGUGUCUGAGGAUAUGCUUGGUCGGGUAUUCAAUGGAUCGGGAAAACCCAUUGACAGAGGUCCUGUUGUACUGGCCGAAGACUUCCUUGAUAUCAUGGGUCAGCCAAUCAACCCUCAAUGUCGAAUCUACCCAGAGGAAAUGAUUCAGACUGGCAUUUCGGCCAUCGAUGGGAUGA
rnacentral:lncRNA from 1 species